rnacentral:rRNA from 1 species
GAUGAACGCUGGCGGCGUGCCUAAUACAUGCAAGUCGAGCGAACGGACGAGAAGCUUGCUUCGCUGAUGUUAGCGGCGGACGGGUGAGUAACACGUGGAUAACCUACCUAUAAGACUGGGAUAACUUCGGGAAACCGGAGCUUACACCGGAUGAUAUUUUGAACCGCAUGGUUCAAAAGUGAAAGACGGUCUUGCUGUCACUUAUCGAUGGUUCCGCGCUGCAUUAGCUAGUUGGUAGGGUAACGGCUUACCAAGGCAACGAUGCAUAGCCGACCUGUGAGGGGGGUAGGCGACACUGGAACUUGGACACGGUCCAGACUCCUGCGGGAGGGAGCAGUAGGGUAUCUGCCGCAGUAGGCGGAAGCCUUGCGGAGCGACGGCGCGUGAGUGGUGAAGGUCUUCGGAUCGUAAUGCUCUGUUUUUAGGGAAGAACAUAUGUGUACGUAGCUGUGCCGAUCGUGACGGUACCUAAUCAGGAAGCCACGGCUAACUACGUG